GACGAACGCUGGCGGCGUGCCUAAUACAUGCAAGUCGAGCGAAGUUUUUCUGGUGCUUGCACUAGAAAAACUUAGCGGCGAACGGGUGAGUAACACGUAAAGAACCUGCCUCAUAGACUGGGACAACUAUUGGAAACGAUAGCUAAUACCGGAUAACAGCAUUAACUGCAUGGUUGAUGUUUAAAAGUUGGUUUUGCUAACACUAUGAGAUGGCUUUGCGGUGCAUUAGCUAGUUGGUGGGGUAAAGGCCUACCAAGGCGACGAUGCAUAGCCGACCUGAGAGGGUGAUCGGCCACACUGGGACUGAGACACGGCCCAGACUCCUACGGGAGGCAGCAGUAGGGAAUCUUCCGCAAAGGGCGAAAGCCUGACGGAGCAACGCCGCGUGAGCGAAGAAGGAUUUCGGUUCGUAAAGCUCUGUUGUUAGGGAAGAAUGAUUGUGUAGUAACUAUACACAGUAGAGACGGUACCUAACCAGAAAGCCACGGCUAACUACGUG
rnacentral:rRNA from 1 species